UAGGGAAUCUUCGGCAAUGGGGGGAACCCUGACCGAGCAACGCCGCGUGAGUGAAGAAGGUUUUCGGAUCGUAAAGCUCUGUUGUUAAGGAAGAACGAGUGUGAGAAUGGAAAGUUCAUGCUGUGACGGUACUUAACCAGAAAGGGACGGCUAACUACGUGCCAGCAGCCGCGGUAAUACGUAGGUCCCGAGCGUUGUCCGGAUUUAUUGGGCGUAAAGCGAGCGCAGGCGGUUAGAAAAGUCUGAAGUGAAAGGCAGUGGCUCAACCAUUGUAGGCUUUGGAAACUGUUUAACUUGAGUGCAGAAGGGGGGAGUGGAAUUCCAUGUGUAGCGGUGAAAUGCGUGGAUAUAUGGAGGAACACCGGUGGCGAAAGCGGCUCUCUGGUCUGUAACUGACGCUGAGGCUCGAAAGCGUGGGGAGCGAACAGG
rnacentral:rRNA from 1 species